rnacentral:rRNA from 1 species
AGAGUUUGAUCAUGGCUCAGGAUGAACGCUGGCGGCGUGGAUAAGGCAUGCAAGUCGAAUGUGUUAUGCUUCGCAUUGGAAAUUCGAAAUCUUAAUUUCGAAAUCCUAAACAAUAUCUAAAUUCAAAUAAUAAAAAAUUUAAAAUGUUUUGGAUUUAAAGUUUUGAAAAUUAGAAUUUGUUUAGAAUUUAGAUUUUUGAUGUUCGUGCUUCUAAUGCGGAGCAUUGAUAACAUGGCAAACGGGUUAGUAACGCGUAGGAAUUUUCCCUAAAGUCGUGAAUAAUCCGGAGAAAUCCGGAAUAAUACACGAUAUGCUCUACGGAGUAAAGAUUUAUCGCUUUAGGAUAAGCCUGCGUCCUAUCAGCUUGUUGGUGAGGUAAUAGCUCACCAAGGCUAUGACGGGUAGGGGGUGUGAGAGCAUGACCCCCAACAUUGGAACUGAGACACUGUCCAAACUCCUACGGGAGGCUGCAGUCGAGAAUAUUCCACAAUGGACGAAAGUCUGAUGGAGCGACGCCGCGUACAGGAUGAAGGCCCUAGGGUCGUAAACUGUUUUUAUUGAGGAACAAUUAUUGAGCGUACUCAAUGAAUAAGGGGUUACUAACUCUGUGCCAGCAGUAGCGGUAAUACAGAGACCCCGAGCGUUAUCCGGAUUUAUUGGGCGUAAAGCGCAUGUAGGCGGAUAUACUAGUCAGAUGUCAAAUCUUCGAGCCUAACUCGAAAACUGCAUUUGAAACGGUAUAUCUAGAGAGAGUGAGAGACCA